UGUCAGGUGGGGAGUUUGGCU
rnacentral:ncRNA from 2 species